UACGGGGGGUGCAAACGUUGCUCGGAAUCAUUGGGCGUAAAGCGCACGUAGGCGGUUCGUUAUGUCGGAUGUGAAAGCCCUUGGCUUAACCGAGGAAGUGCAUCCGAAACUGGCGAGCUAGAGUACGAAAGAGGAUCGCGGAAUUCCCGGUGUAGAGGUGAAAUUCGUAGAUAUCGGGAGGAACACCGGUGGCGAAGGCGGCGAUCUGGGUCGAUACUGACGCUGAGGAGCGAAAGCGUGGGGAGCGAACAGG
rnacentral:rRNA from 1 species